rnacentral:rRNA from 1 species
AAAAUAAUUGAUCCUGCCAGUAGUCAUAUGCUUGGUUCAAAGAUUAAGCCAUGCAUGUCUAAGCCCAAGACGUUACCGGGUUCGCUCGGUAAGCUUCCGAAACUGCACAUGGCUCAUUAAAUCGGUGGUAGUCCGGCACAAUCACGAUUCGUCGGCUUGUUCAGCGGCGUCUGUUUGGGUGGCAACUCCUGGACGGGCGUCGUAUACGGGCAGGUCGGCGAGAUAUGGAUAUCUGUGGGAAUUCUAGAGCUAAUAAAUGAAUUUUGUGACGCUCCUUGUCGGGCUAUGGGCAACCGUAGUUUGGCUUGGGCUCAAGCGUUCGUCUUUUUUAUAGCUGAGGGACUGCUAUCCAAGUAGUUGUUUCAAAUGAUUGAAACCUGACGAACUUUAGCAAAUCGCAUAGAUGUUCCGACCGGCGUUCCUUCGAAAACGUCGGAACAAUCGGGGCGGCGAUGGUUUGUAGGGUUUUCCGACUCAUCAGCCAUGUUGGUAAUCCAUGGGUUUACCAAGGCGUCGACGGGUGACGGAGGAUUGGGGUUUGAUCCCGGAGAGGGAGCCUGAGAGAUGGCUACCACUUCUAAGGAAGGCAGCAGGCGCGCAAAUUACCCAAUGCCAAAACGGUGAGGUAGUGACGAUCAAUAACGACGCGGACUCUCUAAGAGGGUCCGCGAUCGGAAUGAGCUCGCCUUAGAUGCUCGAGCAAGUAACGAUCGGAGGAAAAGUCUGGUGCCAGCACCCGCGGUAAUUCCAAAAAAAAUAGCAUAUAUUAAAGUUGCUGCAGUUAAAAAGCUCGUAGUUGGAACCGAGUACCGUGGUAGUUCCGCUCACCGCCGCGAGUGGUGUGGCGGACGCCCGGUUCAAAGCUGUCAGUGGGGCGGCGGUUGUAUGUGGCUUCGGUCAUGUGCAAUCGUCGUGGGGUCUCGGCCCCGACUCGCGCAGCUUACACCUGGAGCAAAUUAGGGUGUUCAAAGCAGGUAGCUCAUUCGAGCGCCUUGAAUAGGUCAGCGUGGGAUGUAAUCCGGCACCUACUGACUCUAAUCCGCGGCGGUUCUUCGGGGCCGUCGCAACUUCUACUUGUUGCUCACCUCGGUGGCCAAGGGUCUCUCAGAGAGUAGGCAGUGGGAACGAUUGAUGGGGGUGGUCGGUGGCGUCGGUAUUUGCCCGUCAGAGGUGAAAUUCUUGGACCGGGCAAAGACCAUCAUCAGCGAAAGCACUCGCCAAGUACACCUCCCUCAAUCAAGAACGAAAGUCGGGGGAUCGUUGAUGAUCAGAUACCGUCGUAGUCCCGACCGCAAACGAUGCCAACCAGGGAUCAGGAGGCGUCGCAUGGACGGCCCUCCUGGCACCCCCGGGGAAACCUAGAGUCUUUGGGUUCCGGGGGGAGUAUGGUCGCAAGGCUGAAACUUAAAGGAAUUGACGGAAGGGCACCACCAGGCGUGGGGUUUGCGGCUUAAGGCGACUCAACACGGGAAACCUUACCAGGUCCGGACUCCGUAAGGAUUGACAGACUAAGGGACCUUUCUUGAUCCUGAGGGUGGUGGUGCAUGGCCGUUCUUGGUUGGUGGAGCGAUCCGUCAGGUCAAUUCCGUUAACGAACGAGACCUCGACCCCCCAAAUAGUGGCAUGUCUGCCCUGCCAACUCGGGGUUCGUUUCUCUGCGAAGGGAUGUCGUUCAAAUUCGGCCGACCAA